rnacentral:rRNA from 1 species
GACGAACCGUACGAACGUUAUUCGGAAUCACUGGGCUUAAAAGGGUGCGUAGGCUGCGCGGAAAGUUGGGUGUGAAAUCCCUCGGCUCAACCGAGGAACUGCGCCCAAAACUGCCGUGCUCGAGGGAGACAGAGGUGAGCGGAACUUAGGGUGGAGCGGUGAAAUGCGUUGAUAUCCUAAGGAACACCGGUGGCGAAAGCGGCUCACUGGGUCUCUUCUGACGCUGAGGCACGAA